UACGGGGGGAGCAAGCGUUGUUCGGAUUUACUGGGCGUAAAGGGCGCGUAGGCGGCCACCGCAAGUCGACUGUGAAAUCUCCGGGCUUAACCCGGAAAGGUCAGCCGAUACUGCGGGGCUAGAGUGCAGAAGGGGCAACUGGAAUUCUCGGUGUAGCGGUGAAAUGCGUAGAUAUCGAGAGGAACACCUGCGGCGAAGGCGGGUUGCUGGGCUGGCACUGACGCUGAUGCGCGAAAGCUAGGGGAGCGAACGGG
rnacentral:rRNA from 1 species